CUUCCUGCUGUAUCGCGUGGUACUGAAAAGAUCUUGAAAGGUGGUGUCCUGACCAGACAUCCACCCAACACAUAUGUUUUUAACAGUGUCUAUAAUCAAAGACACACAGGGGUCACAUCCUGCUAUAGGAUUUUGUUUAUAACAUUAUCUCCCAUUAUUAUCCUCUUUUUAACAGUCUAUCUAUGAUGAGAUCAGUGUUAAACCUCUUUUCUUUUUUGUUUUUUUUUUUCUUAGUGCUUUACUUCUGGACAUGUCUUGGUGAGUUUAUGCAUCACUAUAAUUGCUUUAUGGUUGUUAUAGCCAUCCAUUUGUCAAUCAUGAUCAAUUGUGAUAAACACACGAAGGAAUUGUUUGCACUUGGUCCACGUUAUGGCUUUUUCAUUUAUUUCAUAUAGGAGCUACAAUUCAUCCAUAAGUUCUACACCAACAUAUAUAAAGAUCUCCUUUCAUGGUCUGCUAGUAAAAGAAUGAAAAGAAAAAGAGAAGGAAAAAAAAAAAACUUGUCGGCUAGUUCAUGUGUCCCAAUACAGUCUGCAGUCUACCAGGCACCCGUGCGUUUCCUUCAUCUAACAUGCAGUUCAUUAUGAGUGACGUGGCAUAUUUUCUGGUAUGAUGAUUAAUUUGGCAAAAAUAGGCAUCUUUCUUUCAUGUUUACAUGCAAAACAUUGAUAUCCUUGGAUGGUCUAUGAUUCAUAAUUCAUGUAUUAGUUUGUAAAGUAAAAUAUGACAACAUUUUGAUAAUCAAUUGCCUGCAAUAAGUAGAUCUUAGCAUGGACUGU
rnacentral:lncRNA from 1 species